CCUGCCCAGUGAUAAAAUUCAACGGCCGCGGUAUCCUAACCGUGCGAAGGUAGCAUAAUCACUUGUUCUUUAAAUAAGGACUCGUAUCAACGGCAUCACGAGGGUUGCACUGUCUCCUCCCUCCAAUCAGUGAAACUGAUCUCCCCGUGAAGAAGCGGGGGUACCACUAUAAGACGAGAAGACCCCAUGGAGCUUUAAACUGGACAGCAACUUAUUUACACCCUCCCCCCCCCCACUCACAAAGACAUGCCCGUCAGUUUUUGGUUGGGGCGACCGCGGAGUAAAAACCAACCUCCACGUCAAAAGAAUAUUAUUCUAUCUUAGAGCUACCCCUCCAAGAAUUAGCACACUAAUGAACACGACCCGUUCAGCGAUCAACGAACCAAGUUACCCUGGGGAUAACAGCGCAAUCUACUUCAAGAGCCCCUAUCGACAAGUAGGCUUACGACCUCGAUGUUGGAUCAGGGUAUCCUAGAGGCGCAGCCGCUUCUAA
rnacentral:rRNA from 1 species